rnacentral:rRNA from 1 species
CGAUAGCGUAUAUUUAAGUUGCUGCAGUUAAAAAGCUCGUAGUUGGAUUUCGGGUGGGAAUGGCCGGUCCGCCGUUUCGGUGUGCACUUGCUACGCCCACCUUGCUGCCGGGGACGUGCUCUUGAGUUCACGCUCGGGACACGGAGUCGGCGAGGUUACUUUGAGUAAAUUAGAGUGUUCAAGGCAGGCUCUCGCCUGAAUACAUUAGCAUGGAAUAAUGGAAGAGGACCUCGGUCCUAUUUUGUUGGUUUCUAGGGCCGAAGUAAUGAUUAAGAGGGACAGUUGGGGGCAUUCGUAUUUAAUUGUCAGAGGUGAAAUUCUCGGAUUUAUGAAAGACGAACAACUGCGAAAGCAUUUGCCAAGGAUGUUUUCAUUAA